ACCCUCGAUGAAGUGCUUACUGCAUUUUUUCUUACACAUGUGUUUUUCUUUUUUUGAAAACUUUGCUUUGGUAGGCCUUCUAUAUGGGGCCUGCCAGAGAUUAAACUCAACCAAAUUUUAUUUAAUGUCAACCGAUUAUUUAAUAGUCAAAACUUUCAACAACGGAUCUCUUGGUUCUCGCAUCGAUGAAGAACGCAGCGAAAUGCGAUAAGUAAUAUGAAUUGCAGAUAUUCGUGAAUCAUCGAAUCUUUGAACGCACAUUGCGCCCUUUGGUAUUCCAAAGGGCAUGCCUGUUUGAGCGUCAUUUCUCCCUCAAACCCUCGGGUUUGGUGUUGAGCGAUACGCUGGGUUUGCUUGAAAGAAAGGCGGAGUAUAAACUAAUGGAUAGGUUUUUUCCACUCAUUGGUACAAACUCCAAAACUUCUUCCAAAUUCGACCUCAAAUCAGGUAGGACUACCCGCUGAACUUAAGCAUAUCAAA
rnacentral:rRNA from 1 species